rfam:Nicotiana attenuata strain TT scaffold02945, whole genome shotgun sequence.
CAAAAGGCUGUUUUUGCAAGAACAGCCACCCUAAGUCAUUUUAAAAUGGUUU